rnacentral:lncRNA from 1 species
UUUUUUGAAUGCUGCUGUGCAUGAGGCAUGGUGUUAGAUGGCAGAUUGACAGAAAUGACUAAUACAGGUAUCUGGCCUCAAGGAGUUUACAGUUUCAUAGGAGAAAGAAAAACAAAACUAGCAAUUCUGCGUUACAGUGUUUCUGCCACCUCUGUACAAAAGACAAUUUUACUUGUGUGACAGAUGGGCUCUGCUUUGUCUCUGUCACAGAGACCACAGACAAAGUUAUACACAACAGCAUGUGUAUAGCUGAAAUUGACUUAAUUCCUCGAGAUAGGCCGUUUGUAUGUGCACCCUCUUCAAAAACUGGGUCUGUGACUACAACAUAUUGCUGCAAUCAGGACCAUUGCAAUAAAAUAGAACUUCCAACUACUGGCCCUUUUUCAGUAAAGUCAUCACCUGGCCUUGGUCCUGUGGAACUGGCAGCUGUCAUUGCUGGACCAGUGUGCUUCGUCUGCAUCUCACUCAUGUUGAUGGUCUAUAUCUGCCACAACCGCACUGUCAUUCACCAUCGAGUGCCAAAUGAAGAGGACCCUUCAUUAGAUCGCCCUUUUAUUUCAGAGGGUACUACGUUGAAAGACU